rnacentral:rRNA from 1 species
AUUGAACGCUGGCGGCAUGCUUUACACAUGCAAGUCGAACGGUAACAGGUCUUCGGAUGCUGACGAGUGGCGAACGGGUGAGUAAUGCAUCGGAACGUGCCCAGUCGUGGGGGAUAACGCAGCGAAAGCUGUGCUAAUACCGCAUACGAUCUACGGAUGAAAGCGGGGGAUCGCAAGACCUCGCGCGAUUGGAGCGGCCGAUAUCAGAUUAGGUAGUUGGUGGGGUAAAGGCUCACCAAGCCAACGAUCUGUAGCUGGUCUGAGAGGACGACCAGCCACACUGGAACUGAGACACGGUCCAGACUCCUACGGGAGGCAGCAGUAGGGAAUAUUGGGCAAUGGUCGGAAGACUGACCCAGCCAUGCCGCGUGCAGGAAGACGGCCCUCUGGGUUGUAAACUGCUUUUAUCUGGGAAGAAAAAGGCCAUGCGUGGCAAAUUGCCGGUACCAGAUGAAUAAGCACCGGCUAACUCCGUG